rnacentral:rRNA from 1 species
UACGUAGGGGGCGAGCGUUGUCCGGAGUUACUGGGCGUAAAGCGCACGCAGGCGGUGCGGUAAGUUCGGAGUGACAAUUCUCGGCUUAACUGAGAAGGGUCUUCGAAGACUGCCGGACUUGAGGGCUCACGAGGGACACGGAAUUCCGGGUGGAGUGGUGAAAUGCGUAGAUAUCCGGAGGAACACCAAAGGCGAAGGCAGCAUUCUGGCGAGCAUCUGACGCUCAUGUGCGAAAGCCAGGGGAGCGAACGGG